GACGAACGCUGGCGGCGUGCCUAAUACAUGCAAGUAGAACGCUGAAGAGAGGAGCUUGCUCUUCUUGGAUGAGUUGCGAACGGGUGAGUAACGCGUAGGUAACCUGCCUGGUAGCGGGGGAUAACUAUUGGAAACGAUAGCUAAUACCGCAUAAAAUUGAUUAUUGCAUGAUAAUUAAUUGAAAGAUGCAAUUGCAUCACUACCAGAUGGACCUGCGUUGUAUUAGCUAGUUGGUGAGGUAACGGCUCACCAAGGCGACGAUACAUAGCCGACCUGAGAGGGUGAUCGGCCACACUGGGACUGAGACACGGCCCAGACUCCUACGGGAGGCAGCAGUAGGGAAUCUUCGGCAAUGGGGGGAACCCUGACCGAGCAACGCCGCGUGAGUGAAGAAGGUUUUCGGAUCGUAAAGCUCUGUUGUAAGAGAAGAACGGGUGUGAGAGUGGAAAGUUCACACUGUGACGGUAUCUUACCAGAAAGGGACGGCUAACUACGUGCCAGCAGCCGCGGUAAUACGUAGGUCCCGAGCGUUGUCCGGAUUUAUUGGGCGUAAAGCGAGCGCAGGCGGUUAGAUAAGUCUGAAGUUAAAGGCUGUGGCUUAACCAUAGUAUGCUUUGGAAACUGUUUAACUUGAGUGCAGAAGGGGAGAGUGGAAUUCCAUGUGUAGCGGUGAAAUGCGUAGAUAUAUGGAGGAACACCGGUGGCGAAAGCGGCUCUCUGGUCUGUAACUGACGCUGAGGCUCGAAAGCGUGGGGAGCAAGCAGGAUUAGAUACCCUGGUAGUCCACGCCGUAAACGAUGAGUGCUAGGUGUUAGGCCCUUUCCGGGGCUUAGUGCCGCAGCUAACGCAUUAAGCACUCCGCCUGGGGAGUACGACCGCAAGGUUGAAACUCAAAGGAAUUGACGGGGGCCCGCACAAGCGGUGGAGCAUGUGGUUUAAUUCGAAGCAACGCGAAGAACCUUACCAGGUCUUGACAUCCCUCUGACCGCUCUAGAGAUAGAGUUUUCCUUCGGGACAGAGGUGACAGGUGGUGCAUGGUUGUCGUCAGCUCGUGUCGUGAGAUGUUGGGUUAAGUCCCGCAACGAGCGCAACCCCUAUUGUUAGUUGCCAUCAUUGAGUUGGGCACUCUAGCGAGACUGCCGGUAAUAAACCGGAGGAAGGUGGGGAUGACGUCAAAUCAUCAUGCCCCUUAUGACCUGGGCUACACACGUGCUACAAUGGCUGGUACAACGAGUCGCAAGCCGGUGACGGCAAGCUAAUCUCUGAAAGCCAGUCUCAGUUCGGAUUGUAGGCUGCAACUCGCCUACAUGAAGUCGGAAUCGCUAGUAAUCGCGGAUCAGCACGCCGCGGUGAAUACGUUCCCGGGCCU
rnacentral:rRNA from 1 species